rnacentral:rRNA from 1 species
GCUUGUCUCAAAGAUUAAGCCAUGCAUGUGUAAGUAUCAGAAGUCUGAACUUCAAAACUGCGAAUGGCUCAUUAUAUCAGUUAUAGUUUAUUUGAUAGUACCUUACUACUUGGAUAACCGUAGUAAUUCUAGAGCUAAUACAUGCAUAAAUACCCAACUAUGCUUCGGUGUGGACGGGUAGCAUUUAUUAGAUUGAAACCAAUGCGGGGCAACCCGGUAUUGUGGUGAAUCAUAAUAACUUUGCGGAUCGCAGACCUCGCGUCGGCGACGAAUCAUUCAAGUUUCUGCCCUAUCAGCUUUGGAUGGUAGGGUAUUGGCCUACCAUGGCUCUAACGGGUAACGGAGAAUUGGGGUUCGAUUCCGGAGAGGGAGCCUGAGAGAUGGCUACCACAUCCAAGGAAGGCAGCAGG